AGAGAUGUGUGAUGACGCAUAUCAAUAAGCGGAGGAAAAGAAACUAACAAGGAUUCCCUUAGUAACGGCGAGUGAAGCGGGAAGAGCUCAAAUUUGAAAUCUUCAAGGUUCUACCUUGACGAAUUGUAGUUUAUAGAAGUGUUUUCUGUUAGUAGAGUGGCAAAAGUUCUUUGGAAUAGGACAUCAUAGAGGGUGAGAAUCCCGUAUUUGGUCAUUCUUUCUAGCUUUGUGAUACACUUUCAACGAGUCGGAUUGUUUGGGAAUGCAGUCCAAAAUGGGUGGUAAAUUUCAUCUAAAGCUAAAUAUUGGCGAGAGACCGAUAGCGAACAAGUACCGUGAGGGAAAGAUGAAAAGAACUUUGAAAAGAGAGUUAAACAGUACGUGAAAUUGUCAAAAGGGAAGCGUUUGACACCAGUGUUGUUUUUCCGAAAAUCAAUUACGAAUGUUUUAUUUUUGAGAAGUUAUGACUUCAUCGGCUUGCUUCUUUCUUUACGAAACUUUCUUAAUGCACUUUUCGGUUAACAAGUCAACAUCAAUUUCUUUUGUUGUAAAAGGGUACGAGGAAGGUGGCUUUCUUUUCGGAGAAAGUGUUUAUAGCCUUGUGCCUCUGCAAUCGGAGAGAUUGAGGUCUGCAGCGUAGAUCCUUCGGGGUUAGAUACAUUUGUGCUAAGUUAUAGCUUUUCAUAGACAACUUGUUGACUAUGUUUAGUCUUGUAGCUUACUCGCUUAUGCUAUUUUACCUACGCUUAGGAUGUUGAAGUCAUCGUAUCGGC
rnacentral:rRNA from 1 species